rnacentral:rRNA from 1 species
UACGUAGGGUGCGAGCGUUGUCCGGAAUUAUUGGGCGUAAAGGGCUCGUAGGCGGUCUGUCGCGUCGGGAGUGAAAACUCAGGGCUUAACCCUGAGCUUGCAGUGGGUACGGGCAGGCUAGAGUCCGGCAGGGGGAGACUGGAAUUCCUGGUGUAGCGGUGAAAUGCGCAGAUAUCAGGAGGAACACCGGUGGCGAAGGCGGGGUCUCUGGGGCCGGAACUGACGCUAAGGAGCGAAAGCGUGGGGAGCGAACAGG